rnacentral:siRNA from 1 species
AAGAUGUCAGUUUGAUGGUUCAUG